rnacentral:rRNA from 1 species
GACGAACGCUGGCGGCGUGCUUAACACAUGCAAGUCGAACGAUGAAGCCGGAGCUUGCUCUGGUGAAUUAGUGGCGAACGGGUGAGUAACACGUGAGUAACCUGCCCUUGACUCUGGGAUAACUGCUAGAAAUGGUAGCUAAUACCGGAUACGACCCUCGGAGGCAUCUCCAGGGGGUGGAAAGAAUUUCGGUCAAGGAUGGACUCGCGGCCUAUCAGCUAGUUGGUGAGGUAACGGCUCACCAAGGCGACGACGGGUAGCCGGCCUGAGAGGGUGACCGGCCAAACUGGGACUGAGACACGGCAUAGACUCCUACGGGAGGCAGCAGUGGGGAAUAUUGCACAAUGGGCGCAAGCCUGAUGCAGCAACGCCGCGUGAGGGAUGACGGCCUUCGGGUUGUAAACCUCUUUUAGUAGGGAAGAAGCGAAAGUGACGGUACCUGCAGAAAAAGCACCGGCUAACUACGUGCCAGCCGCCGCCGCAGUAA